ensembl:misc_RNA 7SK 7SK RNA
GUAUGUGAGGGUGAUUUGGUUGUGACAACUGUCACCCCAUUGAUUGCCAGGGUUGAUUCAGCUGACCUGGCUGGCUAGGCCUGUGUCCCCUUCCUUCUUCACCACUCCAUGUGCCUCCCUCCUGAAGCUGCAUGCUUGGUCAAAGAGGACAACCAUCUCUGACAGAGGAGGAACGGUCUUCAGUCAAGGGUAUAGGAGUAGCUACGCUCCCCUGCUAGAACCUCCAAACAAGCACUCAAGGUCUAAAAACAGUAUUUGUGGGGCGAAGGGAUGAAUGAAUGAACAGAGAUCUUCAAAGUGUCAGAUGA